AUCAUUUGUUCAGUGAUGACGAUGAUGAAGUAAGCAAAGAGUUGAAUGCUAAGGGUGGGAGCAACAAUGAAAGUGGAACUCAGAGUUCAUGGCCAAAGAGGGUUGUAGAAGUUAAUAGCUCCCAAGCAAAUGUUUUGUCUCGUGAUAUCACUUCUGCUCAAGUUGCAAGGCCUGGAACAUCUGAACUCGAAAUUAUUGAAAUGGGAAAAGACUUGAAGAUUGGAGUCCCUAAAAGUUCAAGUUUUGAGGUCGACGACACAAACAAAAAGAUGGACAAGUUUAGUGAGUCAGACAUGAAGAAAGUUGGUUGUGAAAAUGGUGCGCCACCGAAACCAAGACAAGUAAUGCUCACAAGGAAACUCCAAAAUCAAAUCACUUGCUGAAAAGCAUUAAUAUCGAAGAUAAAUCUAUAUAUUAUUCUAAGGAAUCACCACUACCUUCUUGCUUAACGACGUAGCCGUCUUCGCCAUGACAUCCGAUUUUAACCAAUACAGAACCUGAAUUGACCAUGCCCCAACAUCAAGAGGAGUUGAUGCCGAGAUCAAGAAAUGGCAGAGAUCGUUGACCAGAUCCAAGAAAGUACAUGCCAAACCGAAAAAGUCGAUCAAGCGUACGGAGAUCACAAACGUCCAAAAAAUCUCGACUCAACUUCUGAAACUGGGAAAGUGGCUGCAACCGAUCAACAUUUGGACAACCUUCAAAACGAGAGAGAUGCUCAAAAACAGGAACUGGCUUCCUCAUCUACAGAUAGCCUUUAUAAGAGAAUAGCUGAAGUGAAAGAAAAAGAUAGACAAAAGGCACUAGAAGAAUAAUAUACUGCUGGAUAGUUCACAAGUUUAUAGAAAAAGAAAUAACACUGAUCCCGAAAGUAGAACCCACCUCAGUUCCUACAGGACGGAUCGAUUUUUGGCCAAACCAAUUUUUGUAAUUAGGGUUAACGAAGCUUUUAGCGGAUAAUGCACCGAAGGCUAUGAAAGAGCAAAAAUUUGAAAGUUAUUUUGGUCGGAGAAUUGCUAUUGAUGCUGGCAUGAGCAUCUACCAUUUUCU